rnacentral:rRNA from 1 species
CUGCUGCCUCCCGUAGGAGUCUGGGCCGUGUCUCAGUCCCAAUGUGGCCGGCCAACCUCUCAGUCCGGCUACUGAUCGUCGCCUUGGUGGGCCGUUACCCCGCCAACUAGCUAAUCAGACGCGAGUCCAUCUCAGAGCGAUAAAUCUUUGGCAGUCAGAGCCAUGCGACCCAACUGCAUUAUGCGGUAUUAGCAGCUGUUUCCAGCUGUUAUUCCCCACUCCAAGGCAGGUUACU